rnacentral:rRNA from 1 species
GAUGAACGCUGGCGGCGUGCUUAACACAUGCAAGUCGAACGAGGCGCUUGGAUGGAAUUCUUCGGAAGGAAGCUCAAGUGACUGAGUGGCGGACGGGUGAGUAACGCGUGGGUAACCUGCCUCAUACAGGGGGAUAACAGUUAGAAAUGACUGCUAAUACCGCAUAAGCACACGUGAUCGCAUGAUCGAGUGUGAAAAACUCCGGUGGUAUGAGAUGGACCCGCGUCUGAUUAGCUAGUUGGUGGGGUAACGGCCCACCAAGGCGACGAUCAGUAGCCGGCCUGAGAGGGUGAACGGCCACAUUGGGACUGAGACACGGCCCAAACUCCUACGGGAGGCAGCAGUGGGGAAUAUUGCACAAUGGGGGAAACCCUGAUGCAGCGACGCCGCGUGAAGGAUGAAGUAUUUCGGUAUGUAAACUUCUAUCAGCAGGGAAGAAAAUGACGGUAC